rnacentral:rRNA from 2 species
AGGUGACCUGCGGAAGGAUCAUUG